AUUGAACGCUGGCGGCAGGCCUAACACAUGCAAGUCGAGCGAGUGGCGGACGGGUGAGUAAUGUCUGGGGAUCUGCCCGAUAGAGGGGGAUAACUACUGGAAACGGUGGCUAAUACCGCAUACUAUCGGAUGAACCCAGAUGGGAUUAGAUAGUAGGUGGGGUAACGGCUCACCUAGGCUACGAUCCCUAGCUGGUCUGAGAGGAGGAUCAGCCACACUGGAAGUGAGACACGGCCAAGACCCCUACGGGAGGCAACAGUGGGGAAGAUUGCACAAUGGGCGCAAGCCUGAUGCAGCAAUGCCGAGUGUAUGAAGAAGGCCUUAGGGUUGUAAAGUACUUUCAGCGGGGAGGCGUUACCCGCGGAAGAAGCACCGGCUAACUCCGUGCCAGCGGACGCGGUGAUAC
rnacentral:rRNA from 1 species